rnacentral:snRNA from 1 species
GUGCUCGCUUCGGCAGCACAUAUACUAAAAUUGGAACCAUACAGAGAAGAUUAGCAUGGCCCUUGUGGAAGGAUGAUACACAAAUUCGUGAAACAUUCCAUAUUUUU